AGAGGGGUGCAAGCGUUAAUCGGAAUUACUGGGCGUAAAGAGUACGUAGGUGGAUUAUCAAGUUGGGUUGUGAAAUUUCCGGGCUUAACCUGGACAGGUCAAUCAAUACUGGUAGUCUAGAGUGCAAUAGAGGGUAGUGGAAUUUCCGGUGUAGCGGUGAAAUGCGUAGAGAUCGGAAGGAACACCAGUGGCGAAGGCGACUACCUGGAUUGACACUGACACUGAGGUACGAAAGCGUGGGGAGCAAACAGGAUUAGAUACCCUGGUAGUCCACGCCGUAAACGAUGACAACUAGCCGUUGGGAGCUUUUUUGCUUUCAGUGGCGUAGCUAACGCGCUAAGUUGUCCGCCUGGGGAGUACGGCCGCAAGGCUA
rnacentral:rRNA from 1 species